UAGGGAAUCUUCCGCAAUGGGCGAAAGCCUGACGGAGCAACGCCGCGUGAGUGAUGAAGGUCUUCGGAUCGUAAAACUCUGUUAUUCGGGAAGAACAAAUGUGUAAGUAACUAUGCACGUCUUGACGGUACCUAAUCAGAAAGCCACGGCUAACUACGUGCCAGCAGCCGCGGUAAUACGUAGGUGGCAAGCGUUAUCCGGAAUUAUUGGGCGUAAAGCGCGCGUAGGCGGUUUUUUAAGUCUGAUGUGAAAGCCCACGGCUCAACCGUGGAGGGUCAUUGGAAACUGGAAAACUUGAGUGCAGAAGAGGAAAGUGGAAUUCCAUGUGUAGCGGUGAAAUGCGCAGAGAUAUGGAGGAACACCAGUGGCGAAGGCGACUUUCUGGUCUGUAACUGACGCUGAUGUGCGAAAGCGUGGGGAUCAAACAGG
rnacentral:rRNA from 1 species